rnacentral:rRNA from 2 species
CUGCGGCCUAUCAGUUUGUUGGUGAGGUAAUGGCCCACCAAGACUAUUACAGGUACAGGCUCUGAGAGGAGUAGCCCGGAGAUGGGUACUGAGACACGGACCCAGGCCCUAUGGGGCGCAGCAGGCGAGAAAACUUUGCAAUGUGCGAAAGCACGACAAGGUUAAUCCGAGUGGUUUCUGCUAAAGGAACCUUUUGACAGUCCUAGAAACACUGUUGAAUAAGGGAUGGGCAAGUUCUGGUGUCAGCCGCCGCGGUAAAACCAGCACCUCAAGUGGUCAGGAUGAUUAUUGGGCCUAAAGCAUCCGUAGCCGGCUCUGUAAGUUUUCGGUUAAAUCUGUACGCUCAACGUACAGGCUGCCGGGAAUACUGCAGAGCUAGGGAGUGGGAGAGGUAGACGGUACUCGGUAGGAAGGGGUAAAAUCCUUUGAUCUAUUGAUGACCACCUGUGGCGAAGGCGGUCUACCAGAACACGU